rnacentral:rRNA from 1 species
GAUGAACGCUGGCGGCGUGCCUAAUACAUGCAAGUAGAACGCUGAAGGAGGAGCUUGCUCUUCUGGAUGAGUUGCGAACGGGUGAGUAACGCGUAGGUAACCUGCCUGGUAGCGGGGGAUAACUAUUGGAAACGAUAGCUAAUACCGCAUGACAACAGUUAUUGCAUGAUAACUGUUUAAAAGGGGCAACUGCUCCACUACCAGAUGGACCUGCGUUGUAUUAGCUAGUUGGUGAGGUAACGGCUCACCAAGGCGACGAUACAUAGCCGACCUGAGAGGGGGAUCGGCCACACUGGGAGUGAGACACGGCCCAGACUCCUACGGGAGGCAGCAGUAGGGAAUCGUCGGCAAUGGACGGAAGUCUGACCGAGCAACGCCGCGUGAGUGAAGAAGGUUUUCGGAUCGUAAAGCUCUGUUGUAAGAGAAGAACGAGUGUGAGAGUGGAAAGUUCACACUGUGACGGUAUCUUACAAGAAAGGGACGGCUAACUACGUG